GUCCUGUUGGAUUAGUGGUUAGAUCACCAGCUUUACACGCUGGGAGUCGACGGUUCGAUCCCGUCACAGGACA
rfam:Emiliania huxleyi CCMP1516 EMIHTscaffold_242_Cont5847, whole genome shotgun sequence.